UCAAUAUAAUUUGAUAUUAAAAUUAUUAUUAAGUUUAUAUAUAUAUAGAUUUAAAAUUAAAAUAAAUAUAUUUUUUGUUUUAUUAGUAUUAAUGAAAAAAUAAAUUUAAUUAUAGAUAAAUAGUUUUGUAAAGGAAUUUAGAUUUAAUUUUUGUAAGAAAUUUUUAUUUUAUGUACCUUGUGUAUCAGGGUUUAUUAAAUAUUUAUUAUAAAUUUUAAUUUUCUCGAAUUAAUAAGAGCUAUAUUUAUAUAUAUAUUUUUGUAGAAUAAAAAUUUUUAAUAUGAAUAUAGAAGUGAAACAUUAUUCGAUUAUUAAUAUAUCUAGUUUUUAAAGAAAAAAAUUAAAUUUUUUUAUUAAAUAAUUAUAAAAUUAAAUUUUUAAUUUUAUAUUAUUAGUAUUUUAUAUUUUAAGGGAUGAGCUUUAAAGUAGAUUUUUUUAAAAUAUUUUAUUAAUUUUAUAAAAUAGGAUUGUAAGUGUUUUUUUUUAAAAGAGUGUUGUAACUUUUUAAAAUUUAGUUAUAAUUUAUAUAGAAGAUUUUGGAGUUAUUUAUUUAAAAUAAGACUUUAAUAUAAAAAGUUUUGUUAUAAUGGUAGAAUUAGUAUAAAAAUUUGUUUAUUUAUUUUGAAUUUAUUUUAGGUUAAAUAAAGGAAUUCGGCAAAUUUAUUUUUCACCUGUUUAUUAAAAACAUGGCCUUUUGAUUAUAAUUUAAGGUCUGACCUGCCCAAUGAGGAUUUAAAUGGCCGCGGUAUUUUGACCGUGCAAAGGUAGCAUAAUCAUUAGUUUUUUAAUUGAAAGCUGGUAUGAAAGGUUGGAUGAGAAAAUAGCUGUCUCUAUUUAAAUUAUUUAGAAUUUUAUCUUUAAGUAAAAAAGCUUAAAUUUAAUUAGAAGACGAGAAGACCCUAUAGAGUUUUAUUAUUUUUAGUUAAAUUAACUUUAGGAUUAAUUUUUAUUUUUAUUUAAAAUAAUUUGAUUGGGGUGAUUGAAAAAUUUAAUAAACUUUUUUUGUAUUUAAACAUUUAUUUGUGAGUAUUUGAUCCUUAAAUAAAGAUUAUAAGAUUAAAUUACCUUAGGGAUAACAGCGUAAUUUUCUUAAAGAGUUCAAAUCGAAAAGAAAGAUUGCGACCUCGAUGUUGGAUUAAAAUAAAAUUAUGGUGUAGAAGCUAUAAUAUUUAGGUCUGUUCGACCUUUAAAAUUUUACAUGAUCUGAGUUUAAACCGGUGUAAGCCAGGUUGGUUUCUAUCUCUAUUUUUAUUUUAUAUUUUAGUACGAAAGGACCAAGUAUAAGAUUCAUUAAUUUUAUUUUAGAAUAUGAUUGUUGUUUUGGCAGAAUAGUGUGAUGGAUUUAGAAUCUUUUUAUGUAAAUAAUUUACAAG
rnacentral:rRNA from 1 species